GAGGACGACCAGCCACACUGGGACUGAGACACGGCCCAGACUCGUACGGGAGGCAGCAGUGGGGAAUUUUGGACAAUGGGCGAAAGCCUGAUCCAGCAAUGCCGCGUGUGUGAAGAAGGCCUUCGGGUUGUAAAGCACUUUUGUCCGGAAAGAAAACCUCCGCCCUAAUAUGGUGGGGGGAUGACGGUACCGGAAGAAUAAGCACCGGCUAACUACGUGCCAGCAGCCGCGGUAAUACGUAGGGUGCAAGCGUUAAUCGGAAUUACUGGGCGUAAAGCGUGCGCAGGCGGUCCGCUAAGACAGAUGUGAAAUCCCCGGGCUUAACCUGGGAACUGCAUUUGUGACUGGCGGGCUAGAGUAUGGCAGAGGGGGGUAGAAUUCCACGUGUAGCAGUGAAAUGCGUAGAGAUGUGGAGGAAUACCGAUGGCGAAGGCAGCCCCCUGGGCCAAUACUGACGCUCAUGCACGAAAGCGUGGGGAGCAAACAGGAUUAGAUACCCUGGUAGUCCACGCCCUAAACGAUGUCAACUAGUUGUUGGGGAUUCAUUUCCUUAGUAACGUAGCUAACGCGUGAAGUUGACCGCCUGGGGAGUACGGUCGCAAGAUUAAAACUCAAAGGAAUUGACGGGGACCCGCACAAGCGGUGGAUGAUGUGGAUUAAUUCGAUGCAACGCGAAAAACCUUACCUACCCUUGACAUGUAUG
rnacentral:rRNA from 1 species